AGAGUUUGAUCAUGGCUCAGAUUGAACGCUGGCGGCAGGCCUAACACAUGCAAGUCGAGCGGUAGCACAGAGAGCUUGCUCUCGGGUGACGAGCGGCGGACGGGUGAGUAAUGUCUGGGAAACUGCCUGAUGGAGGGGGAUAACUACUGGAAACGGUAGCUAAUACCGCAUAACGUCGCAAGACCAAAGUGGGGGACCUUCGGGCCUCAUGCCAUCAGAUGUGCCCAGAUGGGAUUAGCUAGUAGGUGGGGUAAUGGCUCACCUAGGCGACGAUCCCUAGCUGGUCUGAGAGGAUGACCAGCCACACUGGAACUGAGACACGGUCCAGACUCCUACGGGAGGCAGCAGUGGGGAAUAUUGCACAAUGGGCGCAAGCCUGAUGCAGCCAUGCCGCGUGUGUGAAGAAGGCCUUCGGGUUGUAAAGCACUUUCAGCGGGGAGGAAGGCGAUAAGGUUAAUAACCUUGUCGAUUGACGUUACCCGCAGAAGAAGCACCGGCUAACUCCGUGCCAGCAGCCGCGGUAAUACGGAGGGUGCAAGCGUUAAUCGGAAUUACUGGGCGUAAAGCGCACGCAGGCGGUCUGUCAAGUCGGAUGUGAAAUCCCCGGGCUUAACCUGGGAACUGCAUUCGAAACUGGCAGGCUAGAGUCUUGUAGAGGGGGGUAGAAUUCCAGGUGUAGCGGUGAAAUGCGUAGAGAUCUGGAGGAAUACCGGUGGCGAAGGCGGCCCCCUGGACAAAGACUGACGCUCAGGUGCGAAAGCGUGGGGAGCAAACAGGAUUAGAUACCCUGGUAGUCCACGCCGUAAACGAUGUCGAUUUGGAGGUUGUGCCCUUGAGGCGUGGCUUCCGGAGCUAACGCGUUAAAUCGACCGCCUGGGGAGUACGGCCGCAAGGUUAAAACUCAAAUGAAUUGACGGGGGCCCGCACAAGCGGUGGAGCAUGUGGUUUAAUUCGAUGCAACGCGAAGAACCUUACCUGGUCUUGACAUCCACAGAACUUUCCAGAGAUGGAUUGGUGCCUUCGGGAACUGUGAGACAGGUGCUGCAUGGCUGUCGUCAGCUCGUGUUGUGAAAUGUUGGGUUAAGUCCCGCAACGAGCGCAACCCUUAUCCUUUGUUGCCAGCGGUCCGGCCGGGAACUCAAAGGAGACUGCCAGUGAUAAACUGGAGGAAGGUGGGGAUGACGUCAAGUCAUCAUGGCCCUUACGACCAGGGCUACACACGUGCUACAAUGGCAUAUACAAAGAGAAGCGACCUCGCGAGAGCAAGCGGACCUCAUAAAGUAUGUCGUAGUCCGGAUUGGAGUCUGCAACUCGACUCCAUGAAGUCGGAAUCGCUAGUAAUCGUAGAUCAGAAUGCUACGGUGAAUACGUUCCCGGGCCUUGUACACACCGCCCGUCACACCAUGGGAGUGGGUUGCAAAAGAAGUAGGUAGCUUAACCUUCGGGAGGGCGCUUACCACUUUGUGAUUCAUGACUGGGGUGAAGUCGUAACAAGGUAACCGUAGGGGAACCUGCGGUUGGAUCACCU
rnacentral:rRNA from 1 species